ACUGCCAUAUCAAGUUGAAACACCAGUUCCCGUACGAUCGCCGAAGUUAAGCAACGGCGAGUCUGGUUAGUAGCUAGAUGAAUGAUCGCUUGGAAAUACCAGCUGCUGUAAG